rnacentral:rRNA from 1 species
UACGUAGGGGGCAAGCGUUGUCCGGAAUCAUUGGGCGUAAAGCGCGUGUAGGCGGCUCGAUAAGUCCGUUCUGAAAGUCCAGGGCUCAACCCUGGGAUGCGGAUGGAUACUGUCGAGCUCGAGUCCGGAAGAGGCGAGUGGAAUUCCUGGUGUAGCGGUGAAAUGCGCAGAUAUCAGGAGGAACACCAAUGGCGAAGGCGAGUCCCUGGACAACACCUGACACUGAGGCACGAAAGCUAGGGGAGCAAACAGG